AGAGGACAUACAAAUGGCCGACAGACACAUGAGACUACGCUCCACAUGCCUCGGCAUCAGGGGAAUAGAAAUCAAACUACACUGAGAUACCACCUCACACAAGUCAGAGUGGCUAAAAUUGACAAGUCAGGAAAUGAUAGACGUUGGCAAGGAUGUGGAGAAAGGGGGACCCUUGUACACUGUUGGUGGUAACGUAAGCUAGUGUAGCUACUCUGGAGGUUCCUCAGAAAGUUCCAAAUAGACCUACCGUAUGACCCGGCAUUUGCACUACUGGGUAUUUACUCCAAAGACACAAGUGUAGUGAUGCAGAGGGGCAUCUGCACCCCAAUGUUCAUAGCAGCAAUGUCCACAGGAGCCAAACUAUGGAAAGAGCCCGGAUGUCUACAACAGAUGAAUGGAUCAAGAGGACGUAGUGUGUGUGUGUGUGUGUGUGUGUGUGUGUGUGUGUUUGUAAUGGAAUAUUACUCAUCCAUCAAAACGUGAAGUCUUGCCAUUUACAGCAACAUGGAUGGAACUAGAGGCUAUUCCACUAAGCGAAAAAAAUCAUCGAAAGACAAUUAUCAUAUGAUUUCACUUAAACAUGGAAUUUAAGAAACAAAGAAGAGGAGCAUAGGAGAAGAGAGGAAAAAAUACAAGACGAUAUCAGAGAGAGACACAAACCAUAAGUGACUCUUAAUCAUAGGCAACAAAUGGAGGGUCGCUGGAAGAGAGGGGAGUGGGGGAAUAGGACGACUCUGUGACGGACAUUCAGGAGGGACAUUAAGGAGGGACUGGGUGUUACAUGAGGCUGAUAAAUCACUGACCUCUACCUUUGUAACCAAUAAUCCAUCAUAUGUUAAUUAAUUGAAGUGUUUGUUUUUUAAAAAGAAGAAGAAUAUGGAGGCCAUGUCCUCUUGAAGAGAAAUCAGCACUAUCCACCUUAAUCUAAAAUAAAUUCUUGACACAUAGUCGUAAAUAUUAAAAAAAAAAAAAGGAAAGGAAAAGAAAAACGUGGCUAAAUGACCACAUCCCCAUUAAGCGACAGUAUCAUUGAACAGUGAACAGAUGAGACUGAUUGUGAUGACCACAAACAUCAUGAAGGGAAGAAGACAUCUCUUUAUUAUGAUUCCCCGAGAGACACCUUUCAGUGUCCUCUUUAAUAACCUAAAAUAACAUACAAACAUGUCAUCAAGGCAAGUUAAAAAAUGACACCUGGUUCUCACAGUUUAAUAACGAAGACUAUCAAACAAACAUUUACAGUUAGAAGAACAUGAGGGAACUAACCCGUCUGGUUAUAAGUAUAACUGAUGUAUUAUAUAAGUAUAAUAAAAACAAAACCUAUCCAGAAUAUGUAAACAAAGUUAUAGUUAUGCAGCAGCUGAAAUCUCAUCACAAAACUACGUUGGAACAGCAUGUGUUGGAAACUAUGACUGUUUCAGAACUAUUUAAAAUAAAUACGUAAAUAAAAACUAGAGAAACAAGUAUAAUCUAAGGGCAACAUUUUCAAAAUGAACAACUGAAAUUCCUGACGUAUGUUUGGCUGUCACAAUCCUUUGGGUUCUAAUUUUAUAUUUUUGAGGUAAUUUCCUCCUCACCUUUGUCCCAGUGCAUGAAAAAUGGGACCUCCAACCUCUACCUCAGCAGAGAUUCAAAUUAAGUAAUGUGAAAUAUUUGAUGGUGGCCCAGGAGGGGAUGGACGUGAAAAAACCCUGGUUUCUUUUUGUCUCUCCAUGGACUCCUCCAUGGACUCCCAGCUCCUAGGAGUACAACACGAUAACUCCAUUGAGCUCGUUCUGGAAGGUCCUGGGUUCUUCUAGAUUAUCUGUGAAAGAAACUCCUGUGUUCCUGACUUCCUACCGAAAACGUGCGUCUCCCCGGGGCUCAGGGAUCUGCAAUUGAGAAAGAGAGGAAGGACGUCAGAUUGUAAGGAGGCAACUCUCCAGAUAUAGAGAUUAUUCACCUUCUCAGUCCAUUGUAAUCAGAGUUGAGACGAAUUUAUAAGUCCACUUUAUCCCUAAUCAUUCGUUCUAAACCCCAGUUCAUUUUCAAGUAUGACUUUUGGACUUUGGUGAUCCUGGCUCCAAAAACUUCUUCAUGUACCUAAGAACAGGCCCAGUCAUCUACUUUAUAGCCAGGGCUCUAGGUGAUUCUGUUCAGGGACCAAAACAAACAACCUUGAGAGGAUGUUGCUUUAGACUGGACACUCACCUUGGUCCUUUUGUGCUACUUAGAGUCUGAACUAAUCACCAUACCGCAAACAUCACUCACACAUCAACAUCAUGAACCAUGAGUCCAGAUGCCUAAUCCCCCAUUCUAACCCUACAUCCCGAUGUUCAACCAUAACACCUAGUCCUAAAGUUGGUCAGUGCUAUGUGGUCUGAAUGUUUGUAUCCCACACGCACACCCCAAUCAUAUAUUGAGAUCCUAACCCACAAGGUGAUGGUGCUAGAUGGGGCCACUGGGAUGAUUAGGGCAUGGGUGGGGCCCUCUUGAAUGGGAUUAGUGCUCUGAUAAAAGAGACCCCAGUGACCUGGCUCUCCCCUUCCACCAUGUGAGGACACAGCCAGAAGGUGGCAAUCUGCAACCCAGGAAAGGUCUGACCAACCCAGUAAAGGUUCUGACACUCUGAUCGCAGACUUGUCCCCUCCAAAUUGUGAGAAAUAAAUGUCUGUUGUUCAUAAGCCAUCCAUCCACUCUGUAGUCCUCUGAUGUAGGAGCCUAAAUGGACUAACAGAGCUAUAGUUCACAUGAGUUAAACCCAAUCUUUACUUAAUCCUCUACCCAAAUCUAUAAGUUUAUGUGUCGAUCACAAUAAGCCAUGCUGAAACUAUUAUUUCUUAAGCUUCACUUGUUCUGACAAACUUCCUUGACCAAAAACCUGAGGGGAAAGGUAUAAUUGAACAAAAUGGGACACUGGUCCGGAAGCAGGUAGGGAACAUGAAAAAUGCACAGGCAAUCUGGCCGUAAGCAAUGUGCUUGAAAGGAAAUUUGGAUGAAAGCAUAACUAGACAUAAUUUCUUUUGUAUUACUAGGUAGGUCGACUCUUCCAUCAAAUAUCCUACUGUUAGACAUGUACUUUGUUGUAAAUAAGUCCCUGUGGUUGAUACCUGUGAGGGAUGAAAGGCCAAAAAUGAAUUAGAAAGUCUGGGGAUCCCCGGGUGGCUCAGCGGUUUGGCGCCUGCCUUCGGCCCAGGGCAUGAUCCUGGAGUCCGGGGUCGAGUCCCACAUCAGGCUCCCUGCGUGGAGCCUGCUUCUCCCUCUGCCUAUGUCUCUGCCUCUAUCUCUCUGUCUCUCUCUCUGUCUCUCUCUCUUUCUCUGUGUCUGUGUCUCUCAUGAAUAGAUAAAUAAAUUUUUUUCCUAAGAUUUUUACUUAUUUAUUCAUGAGAGGCACAGAGAGAGAGAGGCAGGCAGAGACCCAGGCAGAGGGAGAAGCAGGCUCCACGCAGGGAGCCCGACGCGGGACUGGAUCCCGGGUCUUCAGGAGCACACCCCGGGAUGCAAGCGACACUAAACCGCUGCGCCACCGCGGCUG
rnacentral:lncRNA from 1 species